rfam:Gasterosteus aculeatus cont1.008693, whole genome shotgun sequence.
ACAAAGGCUCUUUUAAGAGCCACCCACCCACACGAAAAGAGCUGU